GGGGAAUUUUGGACAAUGGGCGCAAGCCUGAUCCAGCCAUGCCGCGUGCAGGAUGAAGGCCUUCGGGUUGUAAACUGCUUUUGUACGGAACGAAAAGGUGCCUUCUAAUAAAGGGCGCUCAUGACGGUACCGUAAGAAUAAGCACCGGCUAACUACGUGCCAGCAGCCGCGGUAAUACGUAGGGUGCGAGCGUUAAUCGGAAUUACUGGGCGUAAAGCGUGCGCAGGCGGUUUUGUAAGACAGAGGUGAAAUCCCCGGGCUCAACCUGGGAACUGCCUUUGUGACUGCAAGGCUGGAGUGCGGCAGAGGGGGAUGGAAUUCCGCGUGUAGCAGUGAAAUGCGUAGAUAUGCGGAGGAACACCGAUGGCGAAGGCAAUCCCCUGGGCCUGCACUGACGCUCAUGCGCGAAAGCGUGGGGAGCAAACA
rnacentral:rRNA from 1 species